UCUUUCUUUCUUCCUUCCUUCCUUCCUUCCUUCCUUCCUUCCUUCCUUCCUUCUUUUUUCUUUUCUUUUCUUUUCUUUUCUUUUCUUUCUUUUUAAAAAUAUUUUGACUUAUUGUGUGUCUGUAUAUGUGUAGCCGGCAGUGUGGAGUCAGAGGACAAGUGGGGAUCAGUUCUCUCCUUCCGUGUAGGUCCCAAGGACCGAAUUCAAGGCAUCCGCUGAACCAUCUCUCUCAGUCCAUUCUUAUUUUACACUGAAGGAAACAAAGAAAUGGAGAAAGGCGGAAGUUACCCAGCUCCAGUCACUAGUGUGGCUCAGCUGGUCCGGGUGUGGCAGGGGCAUCAGCUGGAUUGUAGCUUGUUUAGGAGAUUCCCGAGGGCCCCUGGAGGUUCCCGCUGGGGCUCAGCCUCCCAGGGGCCCCCCCAGUGUGGCUUCCCACCUUGCCACCUGAAGUCCUGUUUCUCCAUCUGCCUGGUGUCUUCCCAAAUUUUGAACCUAAGCGGAUUAAUCUGUUGAUGCUUUCCGUAUACAUUGGCAGGCAUGGCACCCCAGGCGCAACAACUCCAGAUGGAAGACAUACUAUUACCCCUCAAAAAAAUUCUACAAAAAAAACAGAUGAGGAACAAAAGGAAACAACUUCAAAGGAAGGAGGCAGCCAUGACACGCCAGCCAUUCCAGGCCAGGCACAGCUCAUCAGCCACAGCGGGCCAGGCACACUACCGCAGGCGCGGUACAGCAGCCAAACCACGCCAGGCUCAGCACGGUAGUCACAGCUUGUCAACUACAUCACGCCAGUCACAGCACACCCGGCACAUCACGCCCAGCACAACACACCAGGCACAACACACCGGACACACCAAGCCAGGCAAACCGUACCAGGCACAGCAUACCAGGCAAUCCAAGCCAGGCGAAGCACGCCAGAGACACCACACCAGGCAAACCACACCAGCCACACCACGCCAGUCACACCAUGCCAGGCACAGCACCUCAGGCACAGCAAACCAGAGACACCAUAGCAGGCCCAGCACUUCAAGCACAGCACACCAGGCACAUCAAGCCAGGCACAGCAUGCCAAGCUUGCCACACAAGGCACAGGACACCAAACACAACACACCAGGCACAACACACAAGCCACAGCAUGCCAGGCACAGAAUGCCAGGCUUGCCACACAAGGCACAGGACACCAAACACAACACACCAGGCACAACACACAAGCCACAGCACACCCGGCACCACUCAACAGGCACAGCGCAGCUGGCACGGCGCACCAGACACAACCAGCCAAGUCCACGCUGCGUCUACACUUGCUUUAAGGUAGUAGCAAUCUGCUCUGCUUGGGAAAAGCCUUUCUGAAGGUUAUAAUCCUAUCUUCUCUGCCUGCAAGCUCGAGCCUUUGUUAAUUGAGGAUCUACUGUAUGCAAAGGUCCGAGGUGCAAGAAUCCUUGCCAGUUCUGCUCCAGAUGGAGCAAAUACCAAUACUUAAAAAAAAAAAAAAAAAAAAAAAAACAAAACUUCAAAGCAUAGAAGCGGACCCAAUCCUGGAUCUUCUAAGAUGGCAUAUCUGAAAGAGACGGUUGAGUGAAAGACCUGGAGGCUGAGGCUCACAAAUAGCCAAGAUUGACCUUGAACUCGCUAUGCAGCCUAGCAUGAUCUUGGACUCUGGAUCCUCAACCUCUCUAAUGCUGGGAUUACAGGGAUCCUCCCACCUCUGCUUCCUGGAGGGUAGGCAUAAACCUCCAUCAUGCUGCUUAGUCCCCUUGACCUCGUUGAAUUUGAGGUCCACACUGGGGAGGACUGAAGUCACACUGUUUGUAGCUGCCUCUGCAGAAUGAAGCAUCCAGGGGCUCUUCACGAAGAAUUACAGAAAAGGUCAUCACACACCUAAGCCUGUGGACUGUCAUUGGACUGGGGAUUGAACCUGGGUCUCAAGACAUGCCGGGCAAAUACUGUAACGGCUGAGCCCCUCCCUGGGAAUUGGGAACCAGCUAGCUAGACUACUGAAUGGUGACCUCAGGUAUGUCCGACCUCCAGGUACAUAGACCCUGCAGAAGAUCCCUCAGCGGGCAGCAGGGGCCCCAACCCUGGCUUGCUUCUUCUCCAGCUUGGCAAAACCCAACCCUGUUGGCUUCGGUGACCUUUCCUGGACCGCUGGCGGAGUGAGGACAAGCAAGGCUACUGUGUGAAGCCUACUGAAGACCUUGAGGGAGCCACAGUAAACAUUGCAACUGUGUUUGAUGAAGAACUUGGCUUUGGGUCCUGCUAGCAGGAAGAGCUCAAACUGGCUUGGCAAGGGCAGGCAGGCCUGAGGCCAUAGCUUGGCUGCAGGGCCUGGGAAGGAACUCUGAGACUGUGCACUCAAAAGGAACCCGGAGCCUUCUCUCCCAAAGCAGCUACCCACCUUCUUUGUAUCUCUAAGCUCCUGCUUGGCUGGAGGUAGUAACAUAUUAAUGAUAAGAAUGAAAAUUAAUUAAUCCCGGUCAUCCUGACGACAGCACACUGGCAUUCCUUAAGAAGAGGAGAAACAUUAAGCAAUCUUUUGGCACGGAGCACACUGGAACCUGCUUCUAAUACCAGAUGUUGACUUCCCAGUCCCGUUCUUCCAAGUCCUUUCCAUUCCAAACACCCUUGUCCGUCCCCACGUCCUCGAAACUCUUGCUUCUUUUGCUUUCUCAGCUGAGCUCAUUUGUUACCCUGCUUUCGGCUGCCAUCUCUGUGUUAACAACUCCCGGGUUUACGAGGUCUCUUUCCUGUCUCCUGGGUCAUCUCACAUGGACGUUUCUAGUCAGACCAACUCCUACACUCAAAAUGAAACUCUUCAGCCGCCCCAGAACCAAUAACCGAAGGCAGACAGUUUAGGCGAUUUUACUUUAUCUUAUGGUGGUUUUUCAAGACAGGGUUUCUCUGUGGAGUCCUGGCUGUCCUGGAACUCUCUCUGUAGACCUGAGACUGGCCUCACUCUGUAGACAGAGGCAGACCUGCCUGCCUCUGCCUCUGCCCCGUGCUAGGGAUAAAGCUGUUUAAAGCUCGCUGCCCGUGAUGAGGGCUAUUCGAGGGACAGUCCCCAGCAGGUGCCCCGUAGGGGAGGUGGUAGCCUGUGCGGUGGCGUUCAGGAUAAGGAAGCUCCAGCGACUGCAAAAAACGAAAGACUUUUAUUGAAAAAUAUGAAAUGGGCCUAGCAAGCAGACUGUGUGUCGUCUGUCACCAUCUGGAAGGUGGGGUGGUCUCAGACGCGAGGCUGCACGCUGGACGGGUGGGGUUCAUCGACUGCUGGUAGUGGUGACGGUACGGUCUGCGUGCACCCGGCCCCUCAGACGUAGUCCUUGCGGUCGUAGGCGGUGCCGGUACCGGUGCCAGGGCCGGUGGAUCGCGGCGCAGAAUAGAGGAUCUUGGUGGGUGCAUACUUGUCGCGCGGUGGGCAGGAGCAACACAGCAAGGCGCCCCCUAGCAACUGCAGCGCGGCGGCAGCCCAGCCCACGUACAACCCAGCUCCCAUCUCCCGCUUCUGGGCCUCGGGCACCAACGGGUUAUAGAAAUCCCUGAUGAUGGUGUUGGCCGACCAGGACACCGGUACUAAGGUGAGCAGAGCCGCCAACAGGAAAAGCACUCCCGCCACGAUGGUGAUCUUGGCCUUGGCCGUCUCGUCUUGUACGCAGUUGGUACACUGGGCGCCCACGAGCGCCACGAGGAGCCCGAAGGCGGCCAGCAGGAUGGACACCACGAUGAGGGCUCGGGCGGCCUGCAGGUCCUGCGGCAGGGCCAGCAGCGAGUCGUACAUUUUGCACUGCAUCUGACCGGUGCUCUGCACCACGCAGUUCAUCCACAGGCCCUCCCAGGUGAUCUGCGCCGUGAUGAUGCUGCUGCCGAUGAAGGCCGAAACGCGCCACAUGGGAAGGGCGCAGCACACGAUGGUGCACAGCCAGCCCAGCACGGCCAGCGACGUGCCGGUGAUCUCCAGGCCCAUGGACAUGGCUGCUGGACUUGAACCGGCUCGGCCGGGCAGCUCAGGGGACUGGGAGACCAGGGAUCGCGGCCGCUGGACCUGGGAAUCAACUGCCCUUCGAAAACUGACGGACGUCUGUCGCCGGGAACGACGGGUGGGUGGCAAAGGACGGAGCGCGCUUAACGGCUCCUCUCCUGGGGCUCGCACAGAGACUGCCCCUGCACCUGCCUGUGGCUUUGGAGACUGGCUUCUGAGACUGGGUUGGCUCUGGGAUGGGGUGGGUUGGACUUAGCUUGGUGCCUAGAGGAGGAGGGUGGAGCUCGCUCUUCUGGCCCAGGGGACAGUGACGUGUGUCCCGUCCAGUCCGGUCCGUCCUCCCCAACCCCCUUCACCAUAGGAGAAAGGAUUUGGCUAGAACCUCAAUGCUGAAGUGGAUGUGACCUGUUUCCUGUUCGGGGUGGGGAAGUGGAGAAGACGGAAGCCUUGUGUCUUGUUGGUGACAAUGUGUGUUAUUUAUUAUGGCUGUUAUGAAGAACAAUUCAGAAGAAGAACCGGAACCUCGACUCAGGCUAUACAGGGGUCUGUGGGUUUGAUGCAGAAAAGAAUUUCAAGAUGAGCCAGCAUGAAGCAGAAUCAGAGACGAAAACAAACAAAUAGACGACAACAACAACAACAACUUCAGAGUCUCACCGCGUGGUCGUCCUGGUUAGCCUGGAACUCGAGAGAUAGACCAGGCUGCCUUGAACCACAGAGAUAAAUACCCCUGCCUGUGCCUCCAGAGCACUAAGAUUAAAGGUAUUCACCCGGACACCCAGCCCACAGAUGGAGAUUUUAUUAAAGAUAAUUUAAG
rnacentral:lncRNA from 1 species